UACGAACGCUGUCGGCGUUCCUAAUACAUGCAAGUCCAACGCAGUUGCGAACUGGUGAGUAACCCGUAUGUAACUGCCUCAUAGCGGGGGAUAACUAUUGGAAACGAUAGCUAAUACCGCAUCCUGUUAGAUGUACCUUCGUUGUAUUAUCUAGUUGGUGGGGUAAAGGCUCACCAAGGCGACGAUACAUAGCCGACCUGGGAGGGAGAACGGCUAAAAGGGGACUGUGACACGGCCCAGACUGCUACGGGAGGGAGCAGUAGGGAAUCUGCGGAAAUGGAGGAAAGUCUGACCGAGCAACGCCGCGUGAGUGGAGAAGGUGUUCGGAUAGUAAAGCUCUGUUGUUAGAGAAGCGGUAACUAACCAGAAAGGGACGGCUAACUACGUGCCAGCAGCCGCGGUAAUUC
rnacentral:rRNA from 1 species